rnacentral:lncRNA from 1 species
UGACGUCGCUCAGACUUGAAUUGUCAGAUUAAUGGUCAGUUUGGUUAGUAUUUCGUUUAUUCAGUAGUAUUAGUACAUCUCAGACUAUUCAGAUUAGUACUUACACAUUUGGCUUACUCCCACGUCCACUCCCAUUCCGUGCGCGCACUCCUGGCGCCUGCUUACCUUACCGGAGCGCGACGGAUGUGCCGCACCCGCAGCGCCGAAGAUAAACCGUUCUUCCUUAUCCACACGGUCAAAAUAAUCCUGUGACUUUGUAAACCAUUCUUCCUUGUCCACGCUGCUAGUGCUAGCAGAGGCGUAGCCUGUGGCUGUCUAGGUAAUAUCUGAAGUCUGAAGCCUGCCGCCUUGUGGCACAUAAUAUUCUGACCCUGGCCGGCAGAAGCAUGCCAAUUACUUACAUCUCCAUCCAUGUCAGGAACAACCAGACUGCAUCAUCUUCUGAAGAAAGAAGUCGACACUUGUCAUGCUGUUAGCUGAAGAAACCGACACUUUUCAUCUUGUUACCUGAAGAAAUCGACACUUGUCGUGCUGUUAACUAAAUGAAGAAGUCAACAGCAACCGGGCGGGCUCAUCGUCGACCAUCUGAUCUUCAUGUAGCGGCGACUUACGCUUGUACGAGAAAAAGGACUCUGAAGACUGGAGUCGUCGCUAUUUGAAUUAUUACCUUUGUUACAUUAUUACUGUCUCCUUGGUCGCCUGCUUUACUUAACCGUUAAAGUUACGUUUUACUGGUUGUAUUGGGGGUAAAACCCCGGAUCUAUCUGAGAGCAGCUCAUCUUCCUCUACUUUUGGUAAACCCCCAAUAUUCCUCUGAAUUGACCUGCUGAUAAAAGAACAUGUAGCACUGCUGAUAAGAUUCUUGAGGAAGAUGUGCUUCUCUGCUGCUCAAGCUCGUGCGUUUGCCUUGUGUAUCAGGCGCAUCACGCAUCUGGGAGUGCCCUGAA